AGGAUAGGAAGUACACCUGAUCUGGAAGAAAACACAUUACCAUGUACAGUAGUUAAGGUCAACAACAUGCAUAAGAUGUUUUAUGGUGAGCUGACUUUCUGGUGCACAGGUGGGAGAACCCUGUUCUGGUGUGCAUCUCCUGGGGACCUAGAGAAGAGCACUAUUUUUACUGUUUAUGUCAUAAAAAUGGCAAAUACCCUCAUCAGAACCCACCUCCUAAAGAUGACACUUCCGCCUUCCGAGGUCCUGCCUAAAUAUGACAUCACUUCUGGUUACAGUUCAAUCAAGAUCCCACCUCUUCUUAUUCACAUUAUAUAAACCCCCCACCAUCUUGUCUCACCUCAGUUCCGCAUUGAACUUGUGUUUGUAAAGACAUUUUCUUAUUUUUGCCUUAUUUUCAAUUAUACAGGGUUGCUAAUUCCUCAAACCAUUAUGCCCAUGACUGAGUCUCAUUACACUCUUCAACUGCUUUCCCACAUUUAAAUUCACAUUUACUAUGCUUUCUUGGGAUAAUUCUGACUUUAGCCAACUUUGGUAACGAAAGAAGAUCUCUAAACAUAUUUCUACUUCAAAAGCCCCCAUGAGUAUAUUUUCUUGGCCCCACCAGUACAAUAUAAGAUGACAUUUUGCACCCUUCAUCAGUUCCUGGCAAUGUUUUCCUGUCACUAAUGUGUCAGGCUUGUCCCAGUUUUGGCUAAUCCUACA